GGGGCGGGGCGGGGUGUGUUGAAGAAAGGAGGGAAGACAGGAAGGAAAGGGGAGAGAAAAAGUAAAGGAGAGAUAAAAUUUAAAACACAUAGUUUUAUUAUGUCUUAUUUUUGACCUUUAUCUAGUUCUACUUAUGAACAUUUUUACCGUAGCUUUCUCUCUCUGAAUUUGUAAAUAUAGGGCUAUUACUGUUAUUUCAGAGCCUGUGAGGGUGAGAGGCAGACAGCAUGACCCUCUUCCUCCAGAUGUGUCAGGUUGCGUCUCUGGGGCCCAAGAACAGGGUUUUUGUUUUAUUUUACAUAAGCAAAGUACACAUCUCAAAGAGAAUAAUAUUUUUAUUUAUAUUUUUUUGAGAUGGGAGUCUUGCUCUGGCAUCCAGGCUGGAGUGCAGUGGCAUCGUCUUGGUCCUCUGCAACCUCUGCCUCCUAGGUACAAGCAGUUCUCCUGCCUCAGCCUCCUGAGUAGCUGGGAUUACAGGUGGCUGCCAGCACACUCAGCUAAGUUUUGUAUUUUUAGUAGAGACGGGGUUUCACCAUGUUGGCCAGGCUGGUCUCGAACUUCUGACCUUGUGAUCCUCCUGCCUCGCCCUCCAAAGUGAUGGGAUUACAGGCAUGAGCCACUGCGCCUGGCCAAAGGAUAAUAUUUUAAAUCAUCGUUGGGACAUACUUCGCAUGCAAUAAACUGCAUCUAUUUAAAAUGUUCAACUUGUUGAGUUUUAACUGUUGUACACACCCACAUCUCCACUACCACAGUGAAGAUAAAGAGCAUUUUUUUUUUUGAGAUGGGGUCUUGGUUUGUCGCCAGGUUGCAGUGCAGUGGCACCAUCUGGCUCACUGCAUUCUCUGCCUCCCUGGUUGAAGUGAUUCCCCUGCCUCAGCUUCUCAAGCAUCUGGGAUUACAAGCUCCCAAUAAUUUUUUUUUUUUUGUAUUUUAGUAGAGAUGGGGUUUCACCAUGUUUACCUCGUGAUCAGCCCACCUUGGCCUCCCAAAUGUUGGGAUUACAGGCAUGAGCCACAGCGCCCAGCGGGCUUUGUUACUAUUAAAGUCUAUUUUGUCAGAGACGAAAAUGACAACUCCUGUUUUUUUUCUCUCCAUUUGAUUGGGCAGAAAUGCAUAUUGAUGAGUCCGUCAGAGAGAAGAAAUGAAUUCUUCCUCCACACUCUACGGUACAUUCUUUCAUUAUGGAGUACAGCUGAGCAAUCAACGCAACACUAAGAAUGCCAUCAACUUAUAGAUUACUAUUUAAAUAUAUAUAAUUCCCACCAUACCUGAGAGAGGGAGAUGGAUUUUUUCCUCCCACAGAUGAAAAGCUGAGUCACCAAGAACCUGAAGAGUUGGUCUGGGAUUGCUGAAAAUGUUGGCCUUGAAACUUAGGGGACACUCAGCCUCCUGCAGGUCCACCUGGGCAUAAACCGCAUCAGUGGAGACUCCACAACAGCAGAAGGAGCAGUUGAGAUCUCGGAACGUUCCCACUUGUAGAGAGUCCACACCCAGUGGAAUACAGCUGAAGGAUGGGCCAAUAUUAGAGUUCAGCUUUUUCCUUCAGCUGGGGAGGAAGUUGAGGGGGUCAGUCAACUACAUGUGUCAUGUGUGGUGGAACUUAGAGCUACUGUUAGUUCCUCUGCUGAGAACUUUACCCUUCAGAGAAAAGACUCUAUACUCACUGGUAAGCAAUUCUUUCCAGAGUUGCAGAUUCUUUUUAGAAAUGCAAAAAAGCAAUUAUUUUUAGAAAUGCAAAUAUGACUUCCCUAACAUUAAUGUCAACUAUUGACCCUCUUACUCAUCAUCUUAAUUAAGUAGUCUCCUAACUCCCACUGAAAUUAGCCCCAGAGUUGCAUCUGAGCAUUUGGAUCCAAGACAGGAAGUCAUUUUGGGGUUUGGACCUGGCUGAUCCAGGACUGUCUCCUAAAAGGAGGCUUUUUACUUGCAGAGGAGCAAGGGUGAGCUCUGUUUGGAGGAGAAAAGACAGGGACAGAUUCCCAAGAAAACUCAGGAGCUUACCAUGCAAAAGAUUUUGGAAUAUAUAUUUCAACUUGUCAGCACUUAAUUGUUGGUCAACCCAAUGAGACCAUCUGCUGGUGCAGUGUGGGUAACACCCCCAUGGGCACCAAGGAAGGAGAACUGUCCAGACUGCAGGCACAACUAGUGCCUGAAGAAUAUCUUAGUUUAUAGUGUUAUUGCUCAGCUGUCUCCUUAUCCUUCAUAUAUAAUCCUAUAUUAGUUUAUAGAAUUAGUGCUUGAAGUCUAACUUACUGCUUACAUAUAUCUAGCAUACUUAGUUUUAUAUAAUCUUUCUAUAUAUUCAUAUAGGUAUUGUGGUCGGAGCUGUACUGACACAUUUAGUGCUGAUUUAUAGAAUCCUUCUAUAUAACCAUAGAGGAGUUUGUAGUAGGAGGAAUGUCUAGAGCAGUCACAGAACAGAAGCAGUACAUGGGAAAACAGCCAGACCAGGACGAGAACCAAAUAUCCAGGCGGUGGCGUCCCUGCCUGGAAGGGCAUACGCUGUAUGGCAGGCUUGGAGCAAGAGCCUCUCCUCCUGAUAAAGGAGUUGUAGUACCUGCAUCCAGUUCCUGUGGAAAGUAGGCCUCAAGGCUGAGAUCCUGGAAGUAACCGAGGGAGAAGAAUCCCUCUGGUGUGACCAGUCAUGGCGGCUGUACACCCUGUCAGUCUUUUCUCGCUUCCGUGCUAGCUCAAAUAAUCCUCCCAUAAAUAUCUUAAGAGAAGAGCACAAGUCUGUCAGCUCCCACUGCAUUAAGCUUAAGUAUCCUUCUAUUAGAAAUCCUUUCAAGUCGCCAGCCCCCAGGUAAGAAGUGUUGCGGUUGGACUUGGAAGAGCAAGGAGUGUUGGGAAUGCAACCAAGCAGCUGGCGCAGCAGCUUAGAUUAAUUAGGAGAAAGUCAGUUGCAUCAGCAAAUGGGAACCUAGGAAGAAGCAAAUCCAAGCAGUUGCUUGACUACUUAAUUGUCAUUGAUUUUGAAUCGACAUGCUGGAAUGAUGGGAAAUGCCACCAUAGCCGGGAAGUAACUGAAUUUCCAGCAGUGUUGCUGAACACAUCAACUGGACAGAUUGAGUCUGAGUUCAGUGCUUAUGUUCAACCUCAGGAACAUCCCGUUCUUUCAGAAUUUUGCAUGGAAUUGACAGGCAUAAAGCAGGCUCAAGUUGAUGAAGGAGUCCCUCUGAAGAUUUGCUUAUCUCAGUUCUGUAAAUGGAUUCAUAAGAUUCAGCAACAGAAGAAGAACCUUAUUUUUGCUGCUGGGGUUUCAGAGCCUUCUACUUCUGAAGUAAACGCUUAUACAUUUGUUACGUGGUCAGACUGGGACUUGGGGGUGUGACUGGAGUAUGAGUGUAAAAGAAAGCAGCUGUUAAAACCAGUGUUUUUAAAUUCUUGGAUUGAUCUCAGAGAAACUUACAAGCUUUUCUAUAGGAGAAAACCAGAAGGACUAAGUGAUGCCUUGCAGGAAGGGGGAGUAGAAUUCUCAGGACGAGAUCAUUCUGGGUUGGACGAUUCUCAGAAUACUGCCCUUCUUGCUUGGAAAAUGGUCAGGGAUGGCUGUCUAGUGAAAAUUACAAGGUCGUUGAACAAGGUUCCCACUAAGAAGAAUUCCAGCAUUCUGGCCAGAAAUUUGGAUACAAAUCAAGUUGAAGAAAUGUCUGCCUGUAACAGCAUCCGGGGUCCUAGCAUCUAUAAUAAGGAGCCUAAAAAAUACAAUAAAUUCUAUGAAAAAGUUCAAAUGAAGUCAGUUUGUGCAAAUUUUCCUAUAAAGACACAGAAGGAUCAAUUACAAGUAAAGAACAAUAUAAAAACAGGUUUUCACAGUGUCAAAAGUUGCUUAUCUAUUGUUAAUUCUAAGCCCUCUACUUCUCUGGGACAUUUGCAGUCUCCUACCUUGAAUUCACCUAUCUACAUGCAAAAGCAAGGAAAAAAAUGAACAUCUUGCUUUUAAUACCAAAUCUAAGUCUUCAACAGUUGGUUCAGAAUUGGUGCUUGUUUCUACCAGCAUUCUGACUGUUAAUCAUGUUUCUGAUAUGGAAAUGAGCUCUACUCUUGUUUACCUAUGUUGGCUGAUUGGGAGGAUGUGGUUUUACUGCCAGCAUCUCAGCCUGAGAAAACCAUAGAGUGUACAGUUCCCAUUAGUGAUUCAGAUUUAGAGAUUUCAUUUAAUUCUGGAGAAAGAUUAAUGGUUCUGAAAGAAUCAGAAAUGCCAAGUCAUGAGAACUUGGGAGACAUGGAGGAAACUCUCCAAAAAUCUGAGACUUCUAAGUCUAUUGUAUACAAGAGUCCUCACACUACUACUUAUAAUGUAAAAGAAGCCAAAGAUCCGGGUUCAGAUGUUUCUGCCUUUAAGUUACCUGAACACAAAUCAAGUACGUGCAACAGAGUUAAUGCCAAUAUGUCUCAUCCUUUAGUUUUGGGGAAACAUCCUUUUCUUCCAGGUGGUACCAAAAGGAAUCCAUACAGUCCUCAAGCUUUCCCACCAGCAAAAAAACACCCUUCAGUAUUCAUGAAGAAAAGCCUACGUCAUCUGAUUGCUCUCCGGUAAGAAGUUCCCGGAAGCUUUCGCCAUCUGUAUUAACUUCUAUAGUUAACCUACAAGAGCCUUGGAAGAGUGGGAAAAUGACAGCUCCCUUAUGCAAGUGUGGGCGAAGGUCUAGGAGACUUGUUGUUUCUAAUAAUGGAUCGAACCAUGGAAAAGUCUUCUAUUGUUGUCCUAUUGGGAAAUACCAAGAAAACAGAAAAUGUGGUUAUUUCAAAUGGGAACGAACACUUCAAAAGGAAAGAGCCAACAGCAUAGUUCCAUUUCAUUCUACAGGGGGACUCACUUUUAAUUCUCCAGAAACAAGCCAUCUUCGUGACCGAAAUGUAAGUAUUUCCACCAAAAAUUCCUUGAGACUCAGGCCUUCAAUGAAGAAUUGAUAAUCUUUCAUGUAUGAAUUCUAAUUGUUUUUUGAAUUUCCAAACAUGAGUAUUCUGAUAACA